rnacentral:rRNA from 1 species
GACGAACGCUGGCGGCGUGCCUAAUACAUGCAAGUCGAGCGAUGGAGCGUGGUGCUUGCUCCAAUUAGGAGAGCAGCGGACGGGUGAGUAACGCGUGGGGAAUCUGCCUUUGAGAGGGGGACAACUUUUGGAAACGAAUGCUAAUACCGCAUAACAACUUUAAACAUAUGGUUCAAGUGUGAAAGAUGCUAUUGCAUCACCCUAUGGAUAUCCCGCGUUGUCUUAGUCAGUUGGUGAGGUAAAGGCCCACCAAGGGAAAGAUACAUAGCCGCCCUGAGAGGGUGACCGCCACCACGGGAACUGAGACCCGCUCCAGCCUCCUACGGGAGGCGCCAGUGGGGAAUUUUCGCCAUUGGCCGAAAUCUUGCCGGAGCACCCCGGCGUGAGUGAUGAGGGUCUUCGGAUCGUAAAACUCUGUUAUUAGGGAGAAACAUAUUUGUAAGUAACAGUGCACAUCGUGACGGUACCUACUCAGAAAGCCACGGCUAACUACGUG